GGGUUGUGAGGUUAAGCGACUAAGCGUACACGGUGGAUGCCCUGGCAGUCAGAGGCGAUGAAGGGCGUGCUAAUCUGCGAUAAGCGUCGGCGAGGUGAUAUGAACCUUUGACCCGGCGAUACCCGAAUGGGGAAACCCAGUGUGUUUCGACACACUAUCAUGUCAUGAAUACAUAGUGGCAUGAGGCGAACCGGGGGAACUGAAACAUCUAAGUACCCCGAGGAAAAGAAAUCAACCGAGAUUCCCCCAGUAGCGGCGAGCGAACGGGGAGGAGCCCAGAGUCUGAAUCAGCAUGUGUGUUAAUGGAAGCGUCUGGAAAGUCGCACGAUACAGGGUGAAAGUCCCGUACAUGAAAGUGCACAGGUUGUGAACUCGAAGAGUAGGGCGGGACACGUGGUAUCCUGUCUGAAUAUGGGGGGACCAUCCUCCAAGGCUAAAUACUCCUGACUGACCGAUAGUGAACCAGUACCGUGAGGGAAAGGCGAAAAGAACCCCGGCGAGGGGAGUGAAAAAGAACCUGAAACCGUGUACGUACAAGCAGUGGGAGCGCCUUGUGGUGUGACUGCGUAC
rnacentral:rRNA from 1 species